GCGUUUGUGGCGCAAUUGGCUAGUGCGUUCAGCUGUUAACCGGAAGGCUGGUGGUUUAAGCCCACCCAGGGGCG
rfam:Daphnia magna strain Xinb3 scaffold01854, whole genome shotgun sequence.